rfam:Anaerocolumna xylanovorans DSM 12503 genome assembly, contig: EJ36DRAFT_scaffold00004.4
CUAGUUUAGCAAUAUCUGCCGAAGACAGUAGGUGCCGUAAGGCAUAAGGUGAGAACGCCUACCGAGGGAAUAAAUUUUUAUGAGUUUAAGAAAUUUAUGGAAUCCCUUACUGUUCGGCAGUGAGGGAUUUUUUUUGAAAAU